UGUGGUAUGUGCCUGGUAUUAAGUCAUAUUUUUCUACCCUGAGUUUGUUUGUGUGUUUGAUUCAGGACAAGCCCUUCCCCUUUCAUCUCUUCUGACCUUGCAAAGACCACUGAGGAAACAGAACACUUUUUCACCCUGGAGCCUUCGAACCACAGCAAUGGUUGCUUUCUGGCUGUUCUGAGCAGACAGCCUGAGCCAAAGGAAGCACCGCAGGAUGUAAUUGCCAGGGCGAAUGCCAAAGGCAUACUGGACAGGAUCAGCUCCAACCCUGUUAAAAAGAACGAGCACCGCACACAUACCAAGAGAAUGAAAAAACCUGCCCAUACUGACACCUCUCAGCCUCACUUCGCUGCCAGGAAGCUCUCCAAUACCCACCAGACCAAGCACAGUGACAGUGCUGUCUGUUGUGGACAUCAGGAAUCAUCACAAGGAAAACCCAAAGUGCUACCCUUGCAACCUGUAAAGAACACUAUGUCGAGCACUUUGUCUUCUUCCAAACGAGAAAGCCGCACCUCCUCCUCCUCCUCCUCAUCCUCCUCUUCUAAAUUGGGAGGUUGCAUACCCACUAAAAGCAUCGCCCGUUUCAAUGCUGCAGCUUUCAACACCACCACUCUGCAUUCCGCCUCUCCUUCUGCUGUGGCUCCAGUUGUCCGUUCCCGUCGAGCUCCCCUGGAGGUGCUGAAGCCGGUGGUGCUCACCCUCCCUUCUGCUCACUUCCCCUGUGUCUUUCCUCCCCAGCACAGUCGAACAGGAUUCAGCCCCAGCUUCAAGUCUAGGAUGCCAGCUCGCUGCAGUGGUGGUCUCUCCAAGGACGCUAUGGACAAAUCCCAUCCUCUGUUUUGACCUUGCUAAAACAUUAAAGGGUUAUUAGUUUGAUUGCUGCUAGGCAAUCAAACUCUUGUUCUUCACCCUCUUUCUUCUUCUUCUUUUUUAUUCUGUACGUUUUUGGCGCA
ensembl:lncRNA